AUUGAACGCUGGCGGAAUGCUUUACACAUGCAAGUCGAACGGUAGAGGGGGGCAACCCCUUGAGAGUGGCGAACGGGUGAGUAAUAUAUCGGAACGUGCCCAGUCGUGGGGAUAACGUAGCGAAAGUUACGCUAAUACCGCAUACGAUCUAAGGAUGAAAGCGGGGGAUCGCAAGACCUCGCGCGAUUGGAGCGGCCGAUAUCAGAUUAGGUAGUUGGUGAGGUAAAGGCUCACCAAGCCAACGAUCUGUAGCUGGUCUGAGAGGACGACCAGCCACACUGGAACUGAGACACGGUCCAGACUCCUACGGGAGGCAGCAGUGGGGAAUUUUGGACAAUGGACGCAAGUCUGAUCC
rnacentral:rRNA from 1 species